rnacentral:tRNA from 1 species
GCCCUUGUAGCUCAGUGGGAGAGCGCCUGCCUUACAAGCAGGAUGUCGGGAGUUCAAUUCUCUCCAGGGGCA